GGGGGGCUGGGGGGGUCUUUGGGGGGAUAUGGGAGGGAUGUGGGGAUUAUGGGGGUCUUUGGGGGGCUUUUUGUAGGAGGUGUUCAAUAAAAGAGUGAUCGAUGACGUGGGAACGUGGAGGACCUCAGUGGGACCCAUGGGGACAUCAGUGGGACAUGAGGGACCCCAAUGGGAUCCAUGGGGACGUCAGUGGGACAUGAAGACCCAAUGGGGACCCAAUGGGACACGAAGAUCCCAAUGGGACCCAUGGGGGCAUGGAGACCCCAAGGAGACAUGGAGGACCUCAGUGGGGACCCAUGGGGACAUAUGGGGACACGGAGACCCCAAUGGGACAUGGAGGACCCCAAAGGGACACGGAGGACCCCAAUGGGACACGGAGGACCCCAAUGGGACCCAAUGGGACACGAAGAUCCCAAUGGGACCCAUGGGGGCAUGGAGACCCCAAGGAGACAUGGAGGAACUCAGUGGGGACCCAUGGGUGCAUAUGGGGACACGGAGACCCCAGAGGGACAUGGAGGACCCCAAAGGGACAUGAAGAACCCAAUGGGACAUGGAGGACCCCAAUGGGAUCCAUGGGGACAUAUGGGGAUGUGGAGACCCCAGUGGGAUAUGGGGACACCAUGGGGACCCAACGGGACAUGGAGGACCCCAACGGGACAUGGGGAACACAAUGGGACCCAUGGAGACAUCAGUGGGAGAUGGAGGACCCCAAUGGGAUCCAUGGGGACCCCAAUAGGACAUGGGGACCCCAAUGGGAUCCAUGGGAGCAUGGAAGAACUCAAUGGGGACCCACGGGGACAUAUGGGGAUGUGGAGGACCCCAAUGGGGUAUGAGGACACCAAUGGGACAUGGAGACCCUAAUGGGACCCAAUGGGACCCAGUGUCCCUAAUGGGACGUGAAGAUCCCAAUGGGACAUGGAGGAACUCAGUGGGGACCCAUGGGGACAUAUGGGGACGUGGAAGACCCCAAUGGGGCGUGGAGACCCCAAUGGGACAUGGAGGACCCUAAUGGGACAUGGGGACAUCAAUGGGACAUGGGGGACCCCAAAGGGACAUGAAGACCCCAAUGGGGCCCAUAGGGACAUCAAUGGGACAUUGGGGUCACCUACGGGAUCCAAUGGGACAU
rnacentral:lncRNA from 1 species